GAACGCUAGCUACAGGCUUAACACAUGCAAGUCGGAGGGGAAACGAUAGAGAAAGCUUGCUUUUUCUAGGCGUCGACCGGCGCACGGGUGAGUAACGCGUAUCCAACCUGCCCACCACUUGGGGAUAACCUUGCGAAAGUAAGACUAAUACCGCAUAACACUUCUGAGUGGCAUCACUUAGAAGUCAAAGCUUUAUGUGCUGAAAGAUGGCCUCGCGUCUGAUUAGCUGGUUGGCGGGGUAACGGCCCACCAAGGCGACGAUCAGUAGCCGGUCUGAGAGGAUGAACGGCCACAUUGGGACUGAGACACGGUCCAAACUCCUACGGGAGGCAGCAGUGAGGAAUAUUGGUCAAUGGACGAGAGUCUGAACCAGCCAAGUAGCGUGCAGGAUGACGGCCCUAUGGGUUGUAAACUGCUUUUAUAAGGGAAUAAAGUGAGUCUCGUGAGACUUUUUGCAUGUACCUUAUGAAUAAGGACCGGCUAAUUCCGUG
rnacentral:rRNA from 1 species